ACACUUAUAAACCUCCAUUAUAUCUCUAAACUGUCAGAUUUCAUUGAGUGGCACAUACUGUACUGUAGGUUCACCAAUCAGAACAGGAAAAUGCACAGCAAACGGCUGGCAUUGUUACAUUGAUACAAUUUUGUAUGAUGACCCUUUGUCUCUGCCUUCGGUCUGUGUUCUAAUUUGAAUUUGUUUCUUCAGGUCUUUCAACAAAUUCAAUCCUUCCUUGGCAGCUUCCCUGUAUUACGACAAAUUCAAGCUGUUCUUGAAAACUAUGGGGUAUUUCAACGAAUCCAAGGCUUCCUUGACAACUAUACAGUAUUUCAACUAAUUCAAUAC